ensembl:lncRNA
AUGCGCAAAAACGGUCCAACAGCGCUCUCUAGUGGAGGGCACAGUCCCUGGCAAGCAGCGAGAAUAUCAGGAGCUGCUAUUAGGAGCCCGAGAACGAGAGGCAUUAGCCGUCGAGCUCAGGUCCAAUCUUUUCCGCUGUCGCUGGCGAGCGCCAUAGGCGAAGGCUCUUCUCGUGAGGCAGCCCGUUGGCGGUUUGAGGAGGUUGAACGAGACCGCGCGGGCGCCUGCCGCCGUUCAAUCUCCCUGGGCCUGCGUGGAAUCAGCUGGCGGAAAGCGGCUGAUUGCUGUUUCGCUGCCCUAAAUUUAUCCACCACCGACGUGACCGCCUCACCAAACAAACCGUCCUUAGAAACAGGGGCGUCCAUGAGAAAGGAUUUGUCCUUUUCUUUGAUAUCGGUGAGAUUAAGCCAGAGGUGGCGCUCAACCGUAAUCAACCCAGCCAUAGAACGGCCCACUGCCCGAGCAGUAUGUUUGGUAGCGCGUAGCGCCAAAUCUGUUGCUCGUCGCAGCUCUUUCACAGCCUCGGGUGUGAUACCCUCCCCCUCGUCGAGGUCCUUUAAGAGCUCCGCUUGGUAGGCCUGGAGGACCGCCAUAGAGUGGAGCGAUGCGGCCGCCUGGCCAGCAGCCAUGUAGGAUUUCCCGACGAGGCUAGACGUGACUCGACACGCCUUUGAAGGAAGAAGGGGGCGAGACUUCCAUGCCGUGGAUGAAUUAGGCGCGAGAUGUUCGGCGAGAGUCUCUUCCACCGGAGGCAUCGCUGCAUAGCCACGGUUCGCCAUAUCGGAAAUGGUGGCGAAAUCCGCAGCCGCAGCGUUCGUAAUGCGCGCCGAGUAAGGCUGUUUCCAGGACCUCGAAACCUCUUGGUGGAGGUCCGGGAAAAAAGGCAGGGGCCAACGGGGCUGUGCAGGAGUACGACUGGUUAAGAAACGGUCGUCCAGCUUCGAUGAAGGUUGGGCCUCGGCCUUCUCAACCUCCCAAUCCAGUCCCAGCUUACCCACCGCGCGAGAAACCACAUCCAACAGCUCGCUGUAGGAGGGGGAAACACGCUUCUCCUGUCCGCUAGUAGGGAGAGGGCUGUCAGUAUCGGCCAUGAAGUCCUCAGACUCCGAGGCCGCGGUGGAUAAGACAUCGUCGUCAUACUGCCCACAACUGAAGGAGAUAGCAUCGUAUGCCUCCGGGGUGGGCUGUAAACCCCCAUCCGAGAAAACGACGGGUUCGACGAAGCUAAUUUCCUGCACUCGGGUAGGGGAGAGCGAGCGACGUGGAGAAAACUCCAGCGCAGCGCUGUUGUCGUAAUUUAGGUCGCACAUGUCUCCCCAUGCCAUCGCCUCGUGCGGUGCCUCGGCAGCCGCAGAAGCGACACGGCGGGGGUUGGACGCGGGGGCAACCUUAGAAAAUACUUCUACCCUCGAGCGCAGUACUUUAAGCCGCAGGCUAUCACAAUGGGGGCAAGAAGAAAGGCCACUAAGCGCAGUCUGUGCGUGAUGUAAACCCAAACACACUACGCACCUUUCGUGAGUGUCUCCCUUCGUGAUGAACCUGGUACACAGUUCCUUGCACUUUCGAAAACUCAUCGCGUCCGCGAAGAGGAGUUAGCACUGCUCGAAUAAACCGCUAUGAACGCGAGAUGAUUCCA